GUCCUUGUAGCGCAAUGGAUAGCGCGUUGGACUUCGAAUCCAAAUAUCGUGGGUUCGAAUCCUACCUGGGGUG